rnacentral:rRNA from 1 species
UACGAAGGGGGCUAGCGUUGUUCGGAAUUACUGGGCGUAAAGCGCGCGCAGGCGGUCUUCCAAGUCAGUGGUGAAAGCCCGGAGCUCAACUCCGGAACUGCCAUUGAAACUGUUAGACUUGAGGAUGAGAGAGGUGAGUGGAAUUCCCAGUGUAGAGGUGAAAUUCGUAGAUAUUCGGAAGAACACCAGUGGCGAAGGCGACUUACUGGACACAUAUUGACGCUGAGGUGCGAAAGCGUGGGGAGCAAACAGG